AAUUCGAUUCGGGUGUGACAAGGCCCGGGAACGUAUUCACCGCGGCGUUUUGAUCCGCGAUUACUAGCGAUUCCAGCCUCAUGGAGUCGAGUUGCAGACUCCAAUCCGAACUGAGGCCGGCUUUUUCCGAUUAGCUCCCCCUCACGGGUUUGCGACGGUUUGUACCGACCACUGUAGCACGUGUGUAGCCCUGGACAUAAAGGCCAUGAGGACUUGACGUCAUCCCCACCUUCCUCCUCGUUAUCCGAGGCAGUUUCACUAGAGUGCCCGGCUUGACCCGAUGGCAACUAGGGAUAAGGGUUGCGCUCGUUGCGGGACUUAACCCAACAUCUCACGACACGAGCUGACGACAGCCAUGCACCACCUGCACACAGACCACAAGGGAACGCCUAUCUCUAGACGCGUCCUGUGCAUGUCAAACCCAGGUAAGGUUCUUCGCGUUAAUCACUA
rnacentral:rRNA from 1 species